rnacentral:rRNA from 1 species
AUUGAACGCUGGCGGCAGGCCUAACACAUGCAAGUCGAGCGGAUGACGGGAGCUUGCUCCUUGAUUCAGCGGCGGACGGGUGAGUAAUGCCUAGGAAUCUGCCUGGUAGUGGGGGACAACGUUUCGAAAGGAACGCUAAUACCGCAUACGUCCUACGGGAGAAAGCAGGGGACCUUCGGGCCUUGCGCUAUCAGAUGAGCCUAGGUCGGAUUAGCUAGUUGGUGGGGUAAUGGCUCACCAAGGCGACGAUCCGUAACUGGUCCGAGAGGAUGAUCAGUCACACUGGAACUGAGACACGGUCCAGACUCCUACGGGAGGCAGCAGUGGGGAAUAUUGGACAAUGGGCGAAAGCCUGAUCCAGCCAUGCCGCGUGUGUGAAGAAGGUCUUCGGAUUGUAAAGCACUUUAAGUUGGGAGGAAGGGCAGUAAGUUAAUACCUUGCUGUUUUGACGUUACCGACAGAAUAAGCACCGGCUAACUCUGUGCCAGCAGCCGCGGUAAGAC